rnacentral:snRNA from 1 species
GUGUUCACUUUGGCAGCACUUACACUAACCUUGGAAUGAUACAAAGAAAAUCAGCAUGGCCCCAGAUCAAGGAAGACCUACAAAUUCAUGAAGCAAUCCUUGUGUGU